rnacentral:rRNA from 1 species
UACGUAGGGUGCGAGCGUUAAUCGGAAUUAUUGGGCGUAAAGCGUGCGCAGGCGGUUGUGUAAGACAGGUGUGAAAUCCCCGGGCUUAACCUGGGAACUGCGCUUGUGACUGCACGACUGGAGUGUGGCAGAGGGGGGUGGAAUUCCACGUGUAGCAGUGAAAUGCGUAGAUAUCUGGAAGAACACCGGUGGCGAAGGCGGCCUUCUGGACGAUGACUGACGCUGAGACGCGAAAGCGUGGGGAGCAAACAGG